rnacentral:rRNA from 1 species
GACGAACGCUGGCGGCGUGCUUAACACAUGCAAGUCGAGCGGUAAGGCCUUUCGGGGUACACGAGCGGCGAACGGGUGAGUAACACGUGGGUGACCUGCCCUCCACUUCGGGAUAAGCCUGGGAAACUGGGUCUAAUACCGGAUAGGACCUCUGGAUGCAUGUCUGGGGGGUGGAAAGUUUUGUCGGUGGGGGAUGGGCCCGCGGUCUAUCAGCUUGUUGGUGGGGUGAUGGCUUACCAAGGCGACGACGGAUAGCCGGCCUGAGAGGGUGAUCGGCCACACUGGGACUGAGACACGGCCCAGACUCCUACGGGAGGCAGCAGUGGGGAAUCUUGCGCAAUGGGCGGAAGCCUGACGCAGCAACGCCGCGUGGGGGAUGACGGCCU